AAGUAGUGUAGCAUGCCCGUUAGGGUUUUACUCUGAUGUUGAAAUAUUAUUAUUUAAUUGAUUUUGGGAAACGGGGUGUUACAAAACU
rnacentral:pre_miRNA from 1 species